UACGUAGGGUGCAAGCGUUGUCCGGAAUUAUUGGGCGUAAAGAGCUCGUAGGCGGUUUGUCGCGUCUGCUGUGAAAACCCGAGGCUCAACCUCGGGCCUGCAGUGGGUACGGACAGACUAGAGUGCGGUAGGGGAGAUUGGAAUUCCUGGUGUAGCGGUGGAAUGCGCAGAUAUCAGGAGGAACACCAAUGGCGAAGGCAGAUCUCUGGGCCGUAACUGACGCUGAGGAGCGAAAGCAUGGGGAGCGAACAGG
rnacentral:rRNA from 1 species